AGGGUUCGAUUCCGGAGAGGGAGCCUGAGAAACGGCUACCACAUCUAAGGAAGGCAGCAGGCGCGUAAAUUACCCAAUCCUGACUCAGGGAGGUAGUGACAAGAAAUAACGGACCGAGGCCUUCGGGCUUCGGGAUUGCAAUGAGCCGAAUUUACACCCCUUAGCGAAGAUCGAUUGGAGGGCAAGUCUGGUGCCAGCAGCCGCGGUAAUUCCAGCUCCAAUAGCGUAUAUUAAUGUUGUUGCAGUUAAAAAGCUCGUAGUUGGAUUUCUGAGAAAGUGCAUAUGUCCGCUUAACGUGUGUGCAUCUGCGCUUUCUCAUCCUUCUGUUAGCGCCUCUUGGCAUUCAUUUGCUGGUGGCGGGCUCAGAUAUUUUACCUUGAGAAAAUUAGAGUGUUUCAGGCAGGCUAGGCCGGAAUACAUUAGCAUGGAAUAAUGGAAUAGGACUUUAGUCUCUUUGUUGGUUUGAGGGACUGCAGUAAUGAUUAAUAGGGAUAGUUGGGGGCAUUAGUACUUAACUGUCAGAGGUGGAAUUCUCAGAUUUGUUAAAGACUGACUUAUGCGAAAGCAUUUGCCAAA
rnacentral:rRNA from 1 species